rnacentral:rRNA from 1 species
GAUGAACGCUGGCGGCGUGCCUAAUACAUGCAAGUCGAGCGAACGGACGAGAAGCUUGCUUCUCUGAUGUUAGCGGCGGACGGGUGAGUAACACGUGUAUAACCUACCUAUAAGACUGGGAUAACUUCGGGAAACCGGAGCUAAUACCGGAUAAUAUUUUGAACCGCAUGGUUCAAAAGUGAAAGACGGUCUUGCUGUCAGUUAUAGAUGGAUCCGCGCUGCAUUAGCUAGUUGGUAAGGUAACGGCUUACCAAGGCAACGGUGGAUAGCCGACCUUGGAGGUGGACCAGGGACAAGACUCCUGAGGGAGGCAGCAGUAGGGAAUCGGACGCAAUAGGCGAAAGCAUGACGGAGCAACGCGGCGUGAGAGAUGGAGGUCUUCGGAGCGUAAAACUCUGUUAUUAGGGAAGAACAUAUGUGGAAGUAACUGUGCACAGCGUGACGGUACCUAAUCAGAAAGCCACGGCUAACUACGUG